rnacentral:rRNA from 1 species
UGCAAGUCGAGGGGCAGCGGAGCGGAGUGCUUGCACUCUGCUGCCGGCGACCGGCGCACGGGUGAGUAACACGUAUGCAACCUGCCCCGGAGCGGGGGAUAACCCGGCGAAAGCCGGACUAAUACCGCGUAUAUACCCAGGAGGCAUCUUCUGGAUAGGAAAGGACUUCGGUCCGCUCCGGGAUGGGCAUGCGGCGCAUUAGGCAGACGGCGGGGUAACGGCCCACCGUACCGACGAUGCGUAGGGGUUCUGAGAGGAAGGCCCCCCACACUGGUACUGAGACACGGACCAGACUCCUACGGGAGGCAGCAGUGAGGAAUAUUGGUCAAUGGGCGAGAGCCUGAACCAGCCAAGCCGCGUGAGGGAAGAAGGCGCUCAGCGUCGUAAACCUCUUUAGCCGGGGGACAAAACCUCCUCGUGAAGGAGGCUUGAGAGUACCCGGAGAAUAAGCAUCGGCUAACUCCGUGCCAGCAGCCGCGGUAAUACGGAGGAUGCGAGCGUUAUCCGGAUUUAUUGGGUUUAAAGGGUGCGCAGGCGGACAUUCAAGUCUGCGGUCAAAUUCCGGGGCUCAACCCCGGCCAGCCGUGGAAACUGAAUGACUUGAGUGGGCGAGAGGUAUGCGGAAUGCGCGGUGUAGCGGUGAAAUGCUUAGAGAUCGCGCAGAACUCCGAUUGCGAAGGCAGCAUACCGGCGCCUUACUGACGCUCAGGC